rnacentral:rRNA from 1 species
GAUGAACGCUGGCGGCGUGCCUAAUACAUGCAAGUCGAGCGAACAGAUGAGGAGCUUGCUCCUCUUACGUUAGCGGCGGACGGGUGAGUAACACGUGGAUAACCUACCUAUAAGACUGGGAUAACUUCGGGAAACCGGAGCUAAUACCGGAUAAUAUAUUUAACCGCAUGGUUCAAUAGUGAAAGACGGUUUUGCUGUCACUUAUAGAUGGAUCCGCGCCGCAUUAGCUAGUUGGUAAGGUAACGGCUUACCAAGGCAACGAUGCGUAGCCGACCUGAGAGGGAGAUCGGCCACACUGGAACUGAGACACGGUCCAGACUACUACGGGAGGCAGCAGUAGGGAAUUUUACGCAAUGGGCGAAAGCCUGACGGAGCAACGCCGCGUGAGUGAUGAAGGUCUUCGGAUCGUAAAACUCUGUUAUUAGGGAAGAACAAAUGUGUAAGUAACUAUGCACGUCUUGACGGUACCUAAUCAGAAAGCAACGGCUAACUACGUG